UCUUUUCGUUGUUCAUUUCAUAUGUGCUUUUUAUCAUUAAUUUAAGUAAAUUUUAUAGAUGUGUGUAUACCUUAAGGGAAACUAUGAAAAUUAUAAAAAUCACAUGGUAGCAAACAUAAACCUAAGAAAAAAAAGAAGAGAUGAAUGAGAAAGAAUCUCCUCCCAGUAGUCCAAUGCGUGCCGCCGUGAAAUGCAAAUGGCCGCUCAUUCUCCGAGGCAAAAGGAACAUCAUCCCCACAAGCUUCCAAUUCGAGCCACUCCCAGCGCGCACCUGAUCAUCUGUAGCUGUGCCAGAUCUUGAUCGUGGUGAGCUUCCGGCGUUCAGAUACUUGCUAUCUUCAUUCUUUUGUACUGGCUACUACUUUGUAUUUUGGGAUAGUCAAUUAUGUAUUGUAUAUACAUAUUGUCAGCUUUUGUGCUUAGUAGCUUCUGUAUAGGUGACACCAGGACCGGGGUUGGUCUAGCAUUAGUUCGCCAUUUUGGUCACUUUCGAGCCUUUUUGGAUAGUUUGUAUCGUAUUUACAUAUCUAUACAUUGGCCCGACUUUUCUUUUGUUAUAUUCUUCUUGCUU